rnacentral:rRNA from 1 species
GGUUAAGCGACUAAGCGUACACGGUGGAUGCCCCUGGCAGUCAGAGGCGAUGAAGGACGUGCUAAUCUGCGAUAAGCGUCGGUAAGGUGAUAUGAACCGUUAUAACCGGCGAUUUCCGAAUGGGGAAACCCAGUGUGUUUCGACACACUAUCAUUAACUGAAUCCAUAGGUUAAUGAGGCGAACCGGGGGAACUGAAACAUCUAAGUACCCCGAGGAAAAGAAAUCAACCGAGAUUCCCCCAGUAGCGGCGAGCGAACGGGGAGGAGCCCAGAGCCUGAAUCAGUGUGUGUGUUAGUGGAAGCGUCUGGAAAGGCGCGCGAUACAGGGUGACAGCCCCGUACACAAAAAUGCACAUGCUGUGAGCUCGAUGAGUAGGGCGGGACACGUGGUAUCCUGUCUGAAUAUGGGGGACCAUCCUCCAAGGCUAAAUACUCCUGACUGACCGAUAGUGAACCAGUACCGUGAGGGAAAGGCGAAAAGAACCCCGGCGAGGGGGAGUGAAAAAGAACCUGAAACCGUGUACGUACAAGCAGUGGGAGCCUCUUUUAUGGGGUGACUGCGUACCUUUUGUAUAAUGGGUCAGCGACUUAUAUUCUGUAGCAAGGUUAACCGAAUAGGGGAGCCGAAGGGAAACCGAGUCUUAACCGGGCGUUAAGUUGCAGGGUAUAGACCCGAAACCCGGUGAUCUAGCCAUGGGCAGGUUGAAGGUUGGGUAACACUAACUGGAGGACCGAACCGACUAAUGUUGAAAAAUUAGCGGAUGACUUGUGGCUGGGGGUGAAAGGCCAAUCAAACCGGGAGAUAGCUGGUUCUCCCCGAAAGCUAUUUAGGUAGCGCCUCGUGAAUUCAUCUCCGGGGGUAGAGCACUGUUUCGGCAAGGGGGUCAUCCCGACUUACCAACCCGAUGCAAACUGCGAAUACCGGAGAAUGUUAUCACGGGAGACACACGGCGGGUGCUAACGUCCGUCGUGAAGAGGGAAACAACCCAGACCGCCAGCUAAGGUCCCAAAGUCAUGGUUAAGUGGGAAACGAUGUGGGAAGGCCCAGACAGCCAGGAUGUUGGCUUAGAAGCAGCCAUCAUUUAAAGAAAGCGUAAUAGCUCACUGGUCGAGUCGGCCUGCGCGGAAGAUGUAACGGGGCUAAACCAUGCACCGAAGCUGCGGCAGCGACACUGUGUGUUGUUGGGUAGGGGAGCGUUCUGUAAGCCUGUGAAGGUGUACUGUGAGGUAUGCUGGAGGUAUCAGAAGUGCGAAUGCUGACAUAAGUAACGAUAAAGCGGGUGAAAAGCCCGCUCGCCGGAAGACCAAGGGUUCCUGUCCAACGUUAAUCGGGGCAGGGUGAGUCGACCCCUAAGGCGAGGCCGAAAGGCGUAGUCGAUGGGAAACAGGUUAAUAUUCCUGUACUUGGUGUUACUGCGAAGGGGGGACGGAGAAGGCUAUGUUGGCCGGGCGACGGUUGUCCCGGUUUAAGCGUGUAGGCUGGUUUUCCAGGCAAAUCCGGAAAAUCAAGGCUGAGGCGUGAUGACGAGGCACUACGGUGCUGAAGCAACAAAUGCCCUGCUUCCAGGAAAAGCCUCUAAGCAUCAGGUAACAUCAAAUCGUACCCCAAACCGACACAGGUGGUCAGGUAGAGAAUACCAAGGCGCUUGAGAGAACUCGGGUGAAGGAACUAGGCAAAAUGGUGCCGUAACUUCGGGAGAAGGCACGCUGAUAUGUAGGUGAAGUCCCUCGCGGAUGGAGCUGAAAUCAGUCGAAGAUACCAGCUGGCUGCAACUGUUUAUUAAAAACACAGCACUGUGCAAACACGAAAGUGGACGUAUACGGUGUGACGCCUGCCCGGUGCCGGAAGGUUAAUUGAUGGGGUCAGCGCAAGCGAAGCUCUUGAUCGAAGCCCCGGUAAACGGCGGCCGUAACUAUAACGGUCCUAAGGUAGCGAAAUUCCUUGUCGGGUAAGUUCCGACCUGCACGAAUGGCGUAAUGAUGGCCAGGCUGUCUCCACCCGAGACUCAGUGAAAUUGAACUCGCUGUGAAGAUGCAGUGUACCCGCGGCAAGACGGAAAGACCCCGUGAACCUUUACUAUAGCUUGACACUGAACAUUGAGCCUUGAUGUGUAGGAUAGGUGGGAGGCUUUGAAGUGUGGACGCCAGUCUGCAUGGAGCCGACCUUGAAAUACCACCCUUUAAUGUUUGAUGUUCUAACGUGGACCCGUGAUCCGGGUUGCGGACAGUGUCUGGUGGGUAGUUUGAUUGGGGCGGUCUCCUCCUAAAGAGUAACGGAGGAGCACGAAGGUUGGCUAAUCCUCGGUCGGACAUCAGGAGGUUAGUGCAAUGGCAUAAGCCAGCUUGACUGCGAGCGUGACGGCGCGAGCAGGUGCGAAAGCAGGUCAUAGUGAUCCGGUGGUUCUGAAUGGAAGGGCCAUCGCUCAACGGAUAAAAGGUACUCCGGGGAUAACAGGCUGAUACCGCCCAAGAGUUCAUAUCGACGGCGGUGUUUGGCACCUCGAUGUCGGCUCAUCACAUCCUGGGGCUGAAGUAGGUCCCAAGGGUAUGGCUGUUCGCCAUUUAAAGUGGUACGCGAGCUGGGUUUAGAACGUCGUGAGACAGUUCGGUCCCCUAUCUGCCGUGGGCGCUGGAGAACUGAGGGGGCUGCUCCUAGUACGAGAGGACCGGAGUGGACGCAUCACUGGUGUUCGGGUUGUCAUGCCAAUGGCACUGCCCGGUAGCUAAAUGCGGAAGAGAUAAGUGCUGAAAGCAUCUAAGCACGAAACUUGCCCCGAGAUGAGUUCUCCCUGACCCUUUAAGGGUCCUGAAGGAACGUUGAAGACGACGACGUUGAUAGGCCGGGUGUGUAAGCGCAGCGAUGCGUUGAGCUAACCGGUACUAAUGAACCGUGAGGCUUAACCUU